rnacentral:rRNA from 1 species
UUGAACGCUGGCGGCAUGCUUUACACAUGCAAGUCGAACGGUAACAGGUUAAGCUGACGAGUGGCGAACGGGUGAGUAAUGCAUCGGAACGUGCCCGAUCGUGGGGGAUAACGCAGCGAAAGCUGCGCUAAUACCGCAUACGAUCUGAGGAUGAAAGCGGGGGACCGUAAGGCCUCGCGCGAUCGGAGCGGCCGAUGUCAGCUUAGGUAGUUGGUGGGGUAAAGGCUCACCAAGCCUGCGAUCUGUAGCUGGUCUGAGAGGACGACCAGCCACACUGGGACUGAGACACGGCCCAGACUCCUACGGGAGGCAGCAGUGGGGAAUUUUGGACAAUGGGCGCAAGCCUGAUCCAGCCAUUCCGCGUGCAGGAUGAAGGCCUUCGGGUUGUAAACUGCUUUUGUACGGAACGAAAAGGCUCUGGUGAAUACCUGGGGCUCAUGACGGUACCGUAAGAAUAAGCACCGGCUAACUACGU